CCGGACCUGACUGCUAUCGGAUUGGUACUAAGCCAUGCGAGUCGUUGUAGCAAUACAAGGCGGACGGCUCAGUAACACGUAGUCAACCUAACCUAUGGACGUGGAUAACCUCGGGAAACUGAGAAUAAACCGUGAUAGAUCAUAAUGCCUGGAAUGGCUUAUGGUUCAAACAAUUUAUUGCCGUAGGAUGGGACUGCGGCCUAUCAGCUUGUUGGUGAGGUAAUGGCCCACCAAGGCUAUAACAGGUACGGGCUCUGAGAGGAGAAGCCCGGAGAUGGGUACUGAGACACGGACCCAGGCCCUAUGGGGCGCAGCAGGCGAGAAACCUUAGCAAUGUGCGAAAGCACGACUAGGUUAAUCCGAGUGGUUCCUGCUAAAGGAACCUUUUGUCAGUCGUAAAACCACAGACGAAUAAGGGGUGGGCAAGUCUGGUGUCAGCCGCCGCGGUAAUACCAGCACCUCGAGUGGUCAGGAGGUUUAUUGGGCCUAAAGCAUCCGUAGCCGGCUACGCAAGUCUCCGGUUAAACCCAACUGCUCAACAGAUGGGCUGCCGGAGAUACUACAUAGCUAGGGAGCGGGAGAGGCAGACGGUAUUCGGUGGGUAGGGGUAAAAUCCACUGAUCCAUCGAGGACCACCAGUGGCGAGGGCGGUCUGCCAGAACGCGUUCGACGGUGAGGGAUGAAAGCUGGGGGAGCAAACCGGAUUAGAUACCCGGGUAGUCCCAGCUGUAAACGAUGCAAACUCGGUGAUGCGUUGGCUUAUGGGCCAACGCAGUGCCGCAGGGAAGCCGUUAAGUUUGCCGCCUGGGAAGUACGGACGCAAGUCUGAACUUAAAGGAAUUGGCGGGGAGCACCACA
rnacentral:rRNA from 1 species